rnacentral:lncRNA from 1 species
UUGGGCAAACCUCUAUGAGGUUAUUGCGGAGAAGAUCUGGCAGCAGCUCUGUAUAGGUCAUGGGGAUUGGAGUGAGAUUGACGACCUUCUCAUUGCGAUUAUAAUUUCUCUGCUCAAUGGCUCGAUUGGACCCAUAGGAAUGCGACAUCUGGGAAUAGGCAGUAAAAUGUGAAUUAGCCUUUUGUUUUCUAUUUUUCUCAUGCCCAUGAUCAUACCCAUUCAAACUCGCCACCAGAUUUGGAUCUAGUGCAAUUUUUCCAUUCCUUAUGCCACCCUCAACCCUCUCU